rnacentral:rRNA from 1 species
UCUAGAGGCUUCGACAAUGACCGAAAGGUUGAUCGAGCGACGCCGCGUGCGGGAUGAAGGUCUUCGGAUUGUAAACCGCUUUUGUUUGGGAAGAAGGCCUGUGUCGUGAACAUGGGAUUGACGGUACCAAACGAAUAAGCCCCGGCUAACUCCGUGCCAGCAGCCGCGGUAAGACGGAGGGGGCAAGCGUUGUUCGGAAUCAUUGGGCGUAAAGGGCUCGUAGGCGGACUAGCAAGUCUGGCGUGAAAUCUCCACCGCUCACCGGGGAGAGGUCGCUGGAUACUACUAGUCUUGAGUUCGGUAGAGGGUCGUGGAAUUUUCGGGUGUAGCGGUGGAAUGCGUAGAUAUCCGAAAGAACACCGGUGGCGAAGGCGGCGACCUGGGCCUGAACUGACGCUGAGGAGCGAAAGCUAGGGGAGCAAACGGGAUUAGAUACCCCGGUAGUCCUAGCUGUAAACGGUGGAUACUAGGUGUGGGGGUAUUCGGACCCCUCCCGUGCCGUAGUCAACACAUUAAGUAUCCCGCCUGGGAA